rnacentral:lncRNA from 1 species
CCAGCUACAUUUAUCAAGCUAAUUUCCGGUGCAACGUUACUUCUCUAUAAUGAGUACACAUUUUCGAAGAGAUGCCAGAUUCGGGAUGGCGCUUGGAGAGCCUGUAUUUAUUCAACUAAGAUCUGGAACAAUUUUACUUCUGCACGAAGGACACACUUUCUCGAAGAGAUACUCAAAUCAACGUAACAGAAGUCAUAGAUACACUUGCUCCUGCUACAUCAGUAAAGACUGCCAGGCCUAUUUAAUCGUGUCUUUUGAAAACAAAAUUUUACAAGUAAAUAGCGAACAUAACCAUAAUCCGCAUACAUUGACCAAAAUAUCAGACGGAACCUACAUUCGUUCGUAAAUACUAGAAACAAGAUUAUUACUCGAAUCGAUUAUAAAUCUAUCUUUCUGUAACACACAUGUGUAUUACUUUUGAAACAUAAAUGUUAACCUAAUAUAUAUUUUAAGAGGAAAGAUUUGUUUGUUUGCGCGUGGUUGUAGCCCAAUUCGCUCAGCUGUAAAGCCAGCGCCUUAUGCGAUGUAGGUGUCACUAGGGUAAGGAAGGAGGUGUCAAUAAGAAUCCAAAAUUUAUGCCCGUGACACCCGUGCGUAGUGCCCUUAAUGUUUAAAAAAUACGUAUUUAGGUUUACGUAUUUAUUUAUAUCAUUAUGUAUUUAUAAUAUAUAUUAUAUAAUGGAUCAUUGACUGGGAAUCAUACUGUUAUUUAAGCCGCAAGUCGUACUAUAACGGUGUUCGCUGAAAACUGGUUUUACAGAUUCUCUCUGUAACUUAUACUGAUGUGGGAACCACUUUCGCAUCAUUACUUAAAUUUGUAUAUUACUAAAUUGUUUGAUCUCCUACUUACUGUAUUCCUGUUUUGGUGUCAAAUAAAUGUCUAUGUCUUAAUAUACCAUAAGAGAUAAAGCAUUAAUUAACUUUGAAUAAUUUUCCAAAAUAAACCACGACCAAAACGAUUACUAUACAGUAGGUAUAUAUAAUGAAACAAAAUAUAUUUUGAAAAUGGUUCAAAUUAUUUCUUAACGAAUGUAAUUCUCAUAAAAAACUCAACAAACAAUAUUAACUACAAUAAAAAAUUACAGCUGUUUUUAUCAAAAUGGCAUCUGGCACAAAAUUAUUGUUGUACAAUGAAUACACUUUCUCGAGAAGCAACUAUGCAAAGGACGGUGCGUGGAGAUACGCCUGUUCGUCAAGGAGGCGAAGACAAUGCAAGGCAAUGGUGCACGUAGUGGACAACACCAUAACUCGCGUGAAGGAAGAUCAUAACCACGCACCCUGCAAGCUAUAUCAGACUCCCAAUGGAUGUUAUAUUCGAGCUUGAGGAAGAUUUAGGGGAAGUACCCCCACAGAAAACCGGCGUGAAAUGGUGUGUUCCGUACGGUGAACGAGAGGCACGGUUUAAAUUGUGGGAUGAAUGUUCAUAAGACUGACGACGAGACGCUUUAAAAAUAAAGUAAAAAUUAAUUCGGCAUGUCGUGACGACAUAAGCGGUGCAUCAAGUUUUUUCUUUAUUUUUUUAUAUAUUCUCGUUGUUGUAUACUCACCAUUUUGCGGGUACUUAAUAUAUAGUCAAUGUUUUCUA